CACUCGCUCCCAGAUUAGGUGGCUCUGGGGCUAUCCGGCCAGCAUGGACGCUGGCAAAGCGGGGCAGACCCUGAAGACUCACUGCUCAGCCCAGGUGAGAGCCUUCUGAGCUGUGCCUGGGGCUGGGGGGACAGGGCCCUGGAACCCCAGCAGCCGGCGGGUCUGGGAGCUGCUGUCCUUGAGUUGGUUGGGCCCUGGGAAGCUGGGUUCUGGCAGCCUGGUCCCUCAAUGGGUCUAGCCUGUACGGCUGGGGUCCCAGGUGGGGGUGGGACAGGAGCCAUGAGAUCUGAGUCCCAAGAAUGGGGGCUGGGCUGGGUUUCGGCUCAGUAGCUCCCCACUCCCCAAAGCGCCCAGAUGUCUGCAGGUGGCUGAGCCCCUUCAUCCUCUCCUGCUGCGUGUACUUCUGCCUCUGGAUUCCCGAGGACCAGCUGUCCUGGUUCGCUGCCCUGGUCAAGUGCCUGCCCGUCCUCUGCCUGGCUGGGUUCCUGUGGGUCAUGUCCCCAAGCGGGGGCUACACCCAGUUCCUCCAGGGAGCCCUUGUGUGCUCGGCUGUGGGGGACGCUUGCCUCAUCUGGCCGGCAGCCUUCGUCCCUGGUGAGUGGAAGGUGCUGUGACGCUUUCCAGAUGCCCGUGUGAGGGAGGCCCCAGCACUUGGAUGGGAGCCUGGGUGCAGAGGGCUCCUGUGAGAGCUCCAGUGGUCAAAGGCACGGUGGGGGGCGCAGCCGUGACCGAGGCAGCUCACGCUCCAGCGAGGGGUGGGGGCAGGCGGUGUUAGGGCAGUAGCUGAGGUGGCGCAGAGGGCAGUGAGGACCCGCUGGAGGUACUGCAGUUUGAAGCAGGGUUGCUGAGGAAGGCCUCACUGAGGAAGUCACAUUUGGGCAGAGCUGAAGGGCUGUAUGCCUGUGUGGGGGAAGGGCGAGCGUAAAGGCUCCGGGGCAGGGACGUGUCAGGUGCUUGUAGCCCAGCAGGCCAGGGUGGCUGGCGCAGAGUGGCUGGUGAGCUGGAGGCCAUGGGGCUUUGGAGGCCAAGGGAAGGUGGGGCCUCCUGGCGGUUCUGAGCAGAGCAAGGAUGGACACUGCAUGUGGGGAGACCUGCAAGGAGGCUCGGCCAGGGUAGGGCCUGGUGCUCUGGGAUGGUCCUUCUCUUAGGCCCUGAGGGGUGACCUUGGGGCCAUUCCCAGGAUGGGCCUUCCUCACUGGUACCCCACCCCUCUCCCGCCAGGCAUGGCCGCCUUUGCCACCGCCCACCUCCUCUACGUCUGGGCCUUCGGCUUCUCUCCCCUGCAGCCCGGCCUGCUGCUGCUCAUCAUCCUGGCCUCUGGCCCCUACCUCAGCCUUGUGCUCCAGCACCUCGAGCCAGAUAUGGUCCUUCCGGUGGCAGCCUAUGGGCUGAUCCUGAUGGCCAUGCUGUGGCGCGGCCUGGCCCGGGGCGGGAGUGCCGGCUGGGGCGCGCUGCUCUUCACGCUCUCUGAUGGUGUGCUGGCCUGGGACACCUUCGCCCAGCCCCUGCCCCAUGCCCGCCUGGUGAUCAUGACCACCUACUAUGCUGCCCAGCUCCUCAUCACACUGUCAGCCCUCAGGAGCCCGGUGCCCAAGACUGACUGACUAGGGAGCUUGAAGGGCCGGUGUUCAGGCCCUCUCCUCCUGCAAGGACCUGGGCCUCCCAGCCCAGCCCAGCCUGAGAAAUACCCUCAGCAGCGAAGCUUCCUGACGCCUGUCUGCAGGCGCUGCUGCCGCCGUUGCUUCUGGCUGAAGACGUUUGAGGACGAUUUGCGGAAUUCCAAGUCCACUACUGGGUUCCAGCUGCCUUCCCCCGGUUCUGACUCCAGAUCCCUGGCUCCUCAGCCAGGCCCACAUGGAGUCCUCCCAGCCACCAGCCUGCCUCCAUGUUCACUGUCGGCUCCACAGCCUGCCCGCCCCCUGCUGCUGCUCUGAAUCUGUUUUCCCUGUGGGUGUGGAACCGUAGAUGUUGCUGUUACCGUAGGAGAGGCCUCGGGGAGGGUCAUCAUUGUGAUAAACCAUCGCAGUUAAUGAC
rnacentral:sRNA from 1 species